AGGGAUAUAGUAUAGCGGUAGUACAACGGUCUCCAAAACCGUUAGCGGGGGUUCGAUUCCCUCUAUCCCUG
rnacentral:tRNA from 1 species